rnacentral:rRNA from 1 species
GAUGAACGCUGGCGGCGUGCCUAAUACAUGCAAGUCGAGCGAACAGACGAGGAGCUUGCUCCUCUGACGUUAGCGGCGGACGGGUGAGUAACACGUGGAUAACCUCCCUAUAAGACUGGGAUAACUUCGGGAAACCGGAGCUAAUACCGGAUAAUAUAUUGAACCGCAUGGUUCAAUAGUGAAAGACGGUUUUGCUGUCACUUAUAGAUGGAUCCGCGCCGCAUUAGCUAGUUGGUAAAGUAACGGCUUACCAAGGCAACGAUGCGUAGCCGACCUGAGAGGGUGAUCGGCCACACGGGAACUGAGACACGGUCCAGACUCCUACGGGAGGCAGCAGUAGGGAAUCUUCCGCAAUGGGCGAAAGCCUGACGGAGCAACGCCGCGUGAGUGAUGAAGGUCUUCGGAUCGUAAAACUCUGUUAUUAGGGAAGAACAAAUGUGUAAGUAACUAUGCACGUCUUGACGGUACCUAAUCAGAAAGCCACGGCUAACUACGUG